rnacentral:rRNA from 1 species
UACGUAGGGUGCAAGCGUUGUCCGGAAUUAUUGGGCGUAAAGAGCUUGUAGGCGGUUUGUCGCGUCUGCUGUGAAAUUUCGGGGCUCAACCCCGAACUUGCAGUGGGUACGGGCAGACUAGAGUGUGGUAGGGGAGACUGGAAUUCCUGGUGUAGCGGUGAAAUGCGCAGAUAUCAGGAAGAACACCAAUGGCGAAAGCAGCUCUCUGGGACGGUACUGACGCUGAGACGCGAAAGCGUGGGGAGCGAACAGG